rnacentral:rRNA from 1 species
GACGAACGCUGGCGGCGUGCUUAACACAUGCCAGUCGAACGGAAAGUCCCUGCUGUUGUGGGUGGCUCGAAUGGCGAACGGGUGAGUAACAAGAGAGUAACCUUCCCUUGACUAUGGGAUAACUUCAGGAAACUGGGGCUAAUACCGGAUAGGAGCUCCUGCUGAAUGGUGGGGGUUGGAAAGUUUAGGUGGUUGGGGAUCGACUGACGGGUUAUCAGAUUGUUGGUGGGGGAGGGGCAUACCAAGGCAUGAAGGGGUGGCCGGCCUGAGAGGGUGUGCGGCCACACGGGGAGUGAGAGACGGCGAAGAGUCCUCGUGGAGGCAGCAGUGGGGAGUAGUGCACACUGGGCGGCAGACUGAUGCAGCAAAGCCGCGGGCGGGAAAACGACCUUCGGGUGGUGAAACGCUUUGUCUUGAGGCAAAGCGUGAGUGACGGUAAUGGGUGAAGAAGCACCGGCUAACUACGUG